rnacentral:rRNA from 1 species
UACGGGGGGGGCAAGCGUUGUUCGGAAUUACUGGGCGUAAAGGGCUCGUAGGCGGCCAACUAAGUCAGACGUGAAAUCCCCAGGCUCAACCUGGGAACUGCGUCUGAUACUGGAUGGCUUGAAUUCGGGAGAGGGAUGCAGAAUUCCAGGUGUAGCGGUGAAAUGCGUAGAUAUCUGGAGGAAUACCGGUGGCGAAGGCGGCAUCCUGGACCGACAUUGACGCUGAUGAGCGAAAGCGUGGGGAGCGAACAGG